AACCUCUCAUCAUCAACCUACCAAACCCUACCAUCGGCAACUGCCGACCUCCACAUUCUGUGACAAUCCUCGCCAUCGCAGACCAAGAAGAGAAAUCGGAGACCAUUCGAUCCGUUAGUUCCAGACCAUACUCCGUUUUUUUAGUCAGAUUCGCUAUCAAGGAUGAGGUUUAUAAAGAUCCGUCAAGCAAAUCUCCAAUGGCGUCUUGUUGAAGGACACUCACAACAACAAGUAUCUCAUACGACAUGUUUUUGAGCUUCAGAAAGGUAAAACAGAUAAUUGGACCACAAGGGCGCGCUAAUAUUGAAUACUUGCCGUUCAGGUCCAUGUGCUCAUGGAGGCCUGGCAUCAGAUGACACGCCACAAGCAACAUUUUACACCACUCCCGCAGAUUUGUCUACACUUAUAUGCGGGGAUUCACGCUACCGUUGACGGUCAGAAUAUAACCAUCACACAUGUGAUGAUUAGCAACACAUAUGAAUUCGAUGACCUUGAUGCUGUUAAGUGGUAUUCUGAGAAAAGAGUUCGAAUUUGUAUGGAUAUGAUGGGCUAUAAUGUAGAGCCUCAUGAAUCGCCAUUUCAAUAAUCGUGAGUAUGAUUUCAUUUGUGGCUUACACGAUUUCAGUAACUGUGACUCGUAAGAAGCCGAAGCAGGAGCCGACUUCUAAUGGGCCGGAGUUGGAGCCGGCGCCGGAAAUGGUUAUACCAAUGAACGAUAAUGUGAUGAACUUGGAUCAGUCGGAAUUCUCAAGUUUCACAAGUGAUGAACUUGGAUGGAAAACUUGGAACUCUGAUAAUGUGAUUAUAUCUUUGACAGAUAUGAUUGUGGAAGACUUGGUUAAAGAAGACUUGGUUGAAGAAAACUUGGUUGAAGAAUACAUGGCAAAUCACUUUGGCAGCUUUUCAAUGAAGAUGAUUGUGGAAGACUUGGUUAAAGAAGACUUGGUGGUAAUGAAAGAUUGAUCAUGAAAAGGUAAUUUUUGUUUUUGAUGCAUUCAUGAAGAAGCAGUACCAAAAGAAGGUGUUUAACCCCUUGUGGAGAUAUAUUGCACAUGUAAUCUUACGAUGCAUGUCUUGUAGAAGAGACAACUUCGAAGAAUUAAACCAACGGUCGGCGUCAAUGAUGAUAGCGUUUGCAUACCAAUAGUAGUUUAGUUACUACAGCUACAUCUUCUAUGAACUGUGCAAUCAUAUUCAAUCAGAAUCAAAGUUUUUAUUGUUUCCACGAUUUCUGCAACACAUUUUCAAUCAGAAUUUUCCCAACUUGGUUCAUGAAGGAAGUUCUUUAGAUUUAUCUCAUUUGAUAGUAAAAUAUCAAGUUUUUAAUUUUUUAUAACGGUUUCCAUUUUUAGAAACUUUAUCGAUUUAUAAAGCAAAAAUGACAUAAAAAAGGAUCCAUUGAGAUAUGUUUUGAAAUCUAAGCAUUAGUAAUGACUUAUAAACAGGUUUGGACCAGAAAGUCAUUAAAUUAACAUUGAUUUUGGUCACACUUAGUAUUUGCAAAGCACUCAAGGAUCCCACAAAAGUUAUCGCAACCACACUUGAUACGUGCGAUAAGACAUGCAACAAGUAUAAGAGAGCGGCAGAUCAUAUCAAGAUGUUCGAAAAGUUAGAUGUAACAAUUUUGUUCGGAAUCAAUGCAACCAAAUUAUAUGGAUACGACGGGUUGAAGGAUAAGUCUUUUGACCGUAUCGUUUUCAAUGCCCCUCAUUGUGGGACUUUCGGAAAGAAAUUGGAUCUGAUUAAUAUCGAGUGUGCGAUUUGGGAUGGCAAUGGGUCGGGUUUGGGACGGGUUUAGGUAAUCCCAAACCCAAACCCGGUUAGAUAAGCUUGUCCCAAAACCCGUCGGGUUUCGGGUAAACCCGUUAAUUUAAAAAGAUUACUCGUUGGGUAUAUUCAUCUCAAAACCCAUUGAGUAUUUAUCGGCUAACUACUAACCAGUUACAUUUUGUAUUGUCAUUAUAAAAAUAUAUAUCAAAUAACUACAAUGUAUACGGAAUAGAAUACCUAUA